CCAAACUGUUGCCUCGGCGGGAUCUCUGCCCCGGGUGCGUCGCAGCCCCGGACCAAGGCGCCCGCCGGAGGACCAACCAAAACUCUUUUUGUAUACCCCCUCGCGGGUUUUUUAUAAUCUGAGCCUUCUCGGCGCCUCUCGUAGGCGUUUCGAAAAUGAAUCAAAACUUUCAACAACGGAUCUCUUGGUUCUGGCAUCGAUGAAGAACGCAGCGAAAUGCGAUAAGUAAUGUGAAUUGCAGAAUUCAGUGAAUCAUCGAAUCUUUGAACGCACAUUGCGCCCGCCAGUAUUCUGGCGGGCAUGCCUGUCCGAGCGUCAUUUCAACCCUCGAACCCCUCCGGGGGGUCGGCGUUGGGGAUCGGCCCUGCCUCUUGGCGGUGGCCGUCUCCGAAAUACAGUGGCGGUCUCGCCGCAGCCUCUCCUGCGCAGUAGUUUGCACACUCGCAUCGGGAGCGCGGCGCGUCCACAGCCGUUAAACACCCAACUUCUGAAAUGUUGACCUCGGAUCAGGUAGGAAUACCCGCUGAACUUAAGCAUAUCAAUAAGCGGAGGA
rnacentral:rRNA from 1 species